rnacentral:tRNA from 2 species
CAAAGUAUAGUGUAAUACUAACAUAUUUGUUUUGGGGAUGAAAGAUAUUGGUUUAAAUCCAUUUACUUUGA